GCCGUUCUGACCUCACCUGGGCUCUGCUGUUCCGCCUGGACACCCCAGUUUCGGGGAGCAAUGGUGUGCCGAGGCGCACUGGGGUUCUAAAAUACAGGAAAAUAAACAAAAGGAGGUGAGAAUGGAAGCUGAACACAAUGGACCACAUCCAGCACAGUGGAAAAUCAAGAGUCCUGAUGUGAGCACAGCAGGCUUGAGAUGUCGUCUGCCACCCAGUGAUGUUCAUGGCAGACGUAGCGGAGAGGUCCAGGUCGGAGAUGCUGAACUGAGAGGCGUGCACAAGCCGUGGGAAUGGAUGGGGCCGCUUAGUGCAGGGGUCACCAAGUCCAGCCACCUCCUGUUUCUGUAAAUAAAAUUUUAUUGGGGCCAGGCGCGGUGGCUCCCGCCUGUAAUCCCAGCACUUUGGGAGGCCGAGGCGGGCGGAUCAUGAGGUCAGGAGAUCGAGACCAUCCUGGCUAACACUGUGAAACCCCAUCCCUACUAAAAAUACAAAAAAUUAGCUGGGCGUGGUGGUGGGCACCUGUAGUCCCAGCUACUCGGGAGGCUGAG
rnacentral:lncRNA from 1 species